ACGGGUGAGUAACACGUGGGCAAUCUGCCCUGCACUCUGGGACAAGCCCUGGAAACGGGGUCUAAUACCGGAUACGACACAGGAAGGCAUCUUCUCUGUGUGGAAAGCUCCGGCGGUGCAGGAUGAGCCCGCGGCCUAUCAGCUUGUUGGUGGGGUGAUGGCCUACCAAGGCGACGACGGGUAGCCGGCCUGAGAGGGCGACCGGCCACACUGGGACUGAGACACGGCCCAGACUCCUACGGGAGGCAGCAGUGGGGAAUAUUGCACAAUGGGCGAAAGCCUGAUGCAGCGACGCCGCGUGAGGGAUGACGGCCUUCGGGUUGUAAACCUCUUUCAGCAGGGAAGAAGCGCAAGUGACGGUACCUGCAGAAGAAGCACCGGCUAACUACGUGCCAGCAGCCGCGGUAAUACGUAGGGUGCGAGCGUUGUCCGGAAUUAUUGGGCGUAAAGAGCUCGUAGGCGGCUUGUCACGUCGGAUGUGAAAGCCCGGGGCUUAACCCCGGGUCUGCAUUCGAUACGGGCAGGCUAGAGUUCGGUAGGGGAGAUCGGAAUUCCUGGUGUAGCGGUGAAAUGCGCAGAUAUCAGGAGGAACACCGGUGGCGAAGGCGGAUCUCUGGGCCGAUACUGACGCUGAGGAGCGAAAGCGUGGGGAGCGAACAGGAUUAGAUACCCUGGUAGUCCACGCCGUAAACGUUGGGAACUAGGUGUGGGCGACAUUCCACGUCGUCCGUGCCGCAGCUAACGCAUUAAGUUCCCCGCCUGGGGAGUACGGCCGCAAGGCUAAAACUCAAAGGAAUUUGACGGGGGCCCGCACAAGCGGCGGAGCAUGUGGCUUAAUUCGACGCAACGCGAAGAACCUUACCAAGGCUUGACAUACAUCGGAAAGCCGUAGAGAUACGGCCCCCCUUGUGGUCGGUGUACAGGUGGGUGCAUGGCUGUCGUCAGCUCGUGUCGUGAGAUGGUUGGGUUAAGUCCCGCAACGAGCGCAACCCUUAUUCUGUGUUGCCAGCAUGCCUUUCGGGGUGAUGGGGACUCACAGGAGACUGCCGGGGUCAACUCGGAGGAAGGUGGGGACGACGUCAAGUCAUCAUGCCCCUUAUGUCUUGGGCUGCACACGUGCUACAAUGGCCGGUACAAUGAGCUGCGAUACCGUGAGGUGGAGCGAAUCUCAAAAAGCCGGUCUCAGUUCGGAUUGGGGUCUGCAACUCGACCCCAUGAAGUCGGAGUCGCUAGUAAUCGCAGAUCAGCAUUGCUGCGGUGAAUACGUUCCCGGGCCUUGUACACACCGCCCGUCACGUCACGAAAGUCGGUAACACCCGAAGCCGGUGGCCUAGACGCUCUCGCAUCGCUGGGGUACGAGAAUCGUACGUAGAGGUGUAUCAUGGC
rnacentral:rRNA from 1 species